ensembl:lncRNA
ACCCGAUUUUCAGUCGCUUGAUGAAAAUCAUGCGACUGACACUAACGCUGCUAGCUGUAGUGUUAGUGUAGUCUGAUUCACUAAAGUGCCGGCUACAAACAAACGUGCUACCUUGUUUUAUUUUAAAGUUUAGCCCUUCAUCCCGGCGAACCGCUUGAAAUCACUUCUUCCUUAGACUCAAUUCAGUCGGGAAUCCAUGAAAACCCAUUGUUGAACUGCGCCGGAAUUGUUCAUGCACAACGGCACUGAAUGCCAUGGACAAAUCCCGCCAAUGGAACCCGGAAGCGUGAUAAUCCCCUAUUGGCUAGUUGCGUAAGAUGGCGGUCUACAACCCCCGGUUAGAGGAAGGAUCUUCCCGGAGUAACAAUUAAUGAUGUUCAACGCAUCAUUCAGGCUGCGACAUCAGCACCAAGGAGUAAGCGAGAGAAGGGCUUCAAAAUGUUCAUCUCCACUUCUUACAUUGAUAAUUACGAAGAUUGUCCUUGAGGACUCCUCCCCUGUGCAGAUGAAUGAUGCAGAGUGUUCAUGUGUGGCUGGAACAGCACUGUGCAACCAUAAUGUUGCACUGCUGUUCCAGACUGCACACUACUCUCAGCUGAACAUUGCUGCUGUUCCCCCAGUCCUGAGUUGUACAGAGACAGAGCAACUCUGGCACAAGCCAAGAAUUAUGCUCUUACGGUGUUUAUGAAGAAAGAUGUGAAGAAAGGAAUAUUUAUGCUCAAAACAAGGCUGACGGCUGA